CUUGGUCAUUUAGAGGAAGUAAAAGUCGUAACAAGGUUUCCGUAGGUGAACCUGCGGAAGGAUCAUUACCUAGAGUUUGCGGGCUUUGCCUGCUAUCUCUUACCCAUGUCUUUUGAGUACUUACGUUUCCUCGGUGGGUUCGCCCGCCGAUUGGACAAUUUAAACCCUUUGCAGUUGCAAUCAGCGUCUGAAAAAAAUUAAUAAUUACAACUUUCAACAACGGAUCUCUUGGUUCUGGCAUCGAUGAAGAACGCAGCGAAAUGCGAUAAGUAGUGUGAAUUGCAGAAUUCAGUGAAUCAUCGAAUCUUUGAACGCACAUUGCGCCCCUUGGUAUUCCAUGGGGCAUGCCUGUUCGAGCGUCAUUUGUACCUUCAAGCUCUGCUUGGUGUUGGGUGUUUGUCUCGCCUUUGCGUGUAGACUCGCCUCAAAACAAUUGGCAGCCGGCGUAUUGAUUUCGGAGCGCAGUACAUCUCGCGCUUUGCACUCAUAACGACGACGUCCAAAAGUACAUUUUUACACUCUUGACCUCGGAUCAGGUAGGGAUACCCGCUGAACUUAAGCAUAUCAAUAAGCGGAGGAAAAGAAACCAACAGGGAUUGCCCCAGUAACGGCGAAUCCCGCGGCCA
rnacentral:rRNA from 1 species